UACGGAGGAUCCAAGCGUUAUCCGGAAUCAUUGGGUUUAAAGGGUCCGUAGGCGGUUUGGUAAGUCAGUGGUGAAAGCCCAUCGCUCAACGGUGGAACGGCCAUUGAUACUGCCAGACUUGAAUUAUUAGGAAGUAACUAGAAUAUGUAGUGAUAGCGGUGAAAUGCUUAAGAGAUUACAUGGAAUACCAAUUGCGAAGGCAGGUUACUACUAAUGGAUUGACGCUGAUGGACGAAAGCGUGGGUAGCGAACAGG
rnacentral:rRNA from 1 species